rnacentral:rRNA from 1 species
GACGUAGGGCGCGAGCGUUGUCCGGAUUUAUUGGGCGUAAAGAGCUCGUAGGCGGUCUGUCGCGUCGGCUGUGAAAACUCGGGGCUCAACCCCGAGCCUGCAGUCGAUACGGGCAGACUAGAGUUCGGCAGGGGAGACUGGAAUUCCUGGUGUAGCGGUGAAAUGCGCAGAUAUCAGGAGGAACACCGGUGGCGAAGGCGGGUCUCUGGGCCGAUACUGACGCUGAGGAGCGAAAGCGUGGGGAGCGAACAGG